AGGGCAGACGGUGGAUGCCUUGGCUCUCGGAGGCGAUGAAGGACGUGAUAAGCUGCGAUAAGCUUGGGGUAGGUGCAAAUAACCUUUGAUCCCAAGAUUUCCGAAUGGGGCAACCCGGCUGGUAGAAGGCCAGUCAUUCCGUAAGGAAGGCGAACGUGGGGAACUGAAACAUCUAAGUACCCAUAGGAGAAGAAAACAAAAGUGAUUCCGCAAGUAGUGGCGAGCGAACGCGGAACAGCCCAAACCGAUGAUGUUUAGGCAUUGUCGGGGUAGUAGGACCACGUUGUGGCAAGAGAUUAAGGAAGUAGAACGUUUUGGAACAAACGGCCGUAGACGGUGAAAGCCCAGUAUACGACUCUUUAACGAAGCCUAGUGGAAUCCUGAGUAGCGCGGAGCACGAGAAAUUCUGUGUGAAUCAGCGGGGCCCAUCCCGUAAGGCUAAAUACUCCCGAGAGACCGAUAGCGAACCAGUACUGUGAAGGAAAGGUGAAAAGCACCUCGAACAGAGGAGUGAAAUAGUCCCUGAAACCGUCUGCCUACAAGCGGUCGGAGCAACGUAAGUUGUGACGGCGUGCCUUUUGCAUAAUGAACCUACGAGUUACUUUUUCCGGCAAGGUUAAGCAUCUUGAGAUGUGCAGCCGAAGCGAAAGCGAGUCUGAACAGGGCGUCGAGUCGGAAGGAGUAGACGCGAAACCAAGUGAUCUACCCUUGGUCAGGUUGAAGGUUAGGUAACACUAACUGGAGGACCGAACCGAUAAGCGUUGAAAAGCUUCCGGAUGAACUGAGGGUGGGGGUGAAAGGCUAAUCAAACUUGGAGAUAGCUCGUACUCCCCGAAAUGCAUUUAGGUGCAGCCUCUUUAUAGUAUAUCGUGAGGUAGAGCGACUGAUUGGAUGCGAGGGCUUCACCGCCUAUCAAGUCUUGAUAAACUCCGAAUGCGCAUUAGUUCUAUCACAGGAGUGAGGGCAUGGGUGCUAAGGUCCAUGUCCUAAAGGAGAAGAAUCCAGACCAUCAGCUAAGGUCCCGAAAUAAUUGCUAAGUUGAACUAACGAAGUCAGAUUGCUAAGACAGCUAGGAUGUUGGCUUGGAAGCAGCCAUUCAUUUAAAGAGUGCGUAACAGCUCACUAGUCGAGGAGUUUGGCGUGGAUAAUAAUCGGGCAUAAGUGGUUUACCGAAGCUAUGGGAUGUUUAAUACAUCGGUAGGGGAGCAUUCCACUCCGCGUCGAAGGUGAAGCGUGAGCUUUGCUGGAGCGUGUGGAAAAGCAAAUGUAGGUAUAAGUAACGAUAAAGGGGGUGAGAAACCCCCUCGCCGAAAGACUAAGGUUUCCUGAUCAACGCUAAUCGGAUCAGGGUUAGUCGGGUCCUAAGGCUCAGCCGAACGGUGAGGCCGAUGGCAGAACAGGUUAAUAUUCCUGUACUACCUAUAGGAGUGAUGUGGAGACGGAGGAGUGACAACGCCGCGGACUGACGGAAUAGUCCGUUGAAGGGUGUAGAUGUUGAUCGGGGUAGGCAAAUCCGCUCCGAGAGUCGAACCUGAUAGUAUGGAGCGUUCUUCGGAACAAUCCAAUAGUGCGUGUAAUCAUACUCCCAAGAAAAUCCGCUAAACUUAAUCCUUGAGGUACCCGUACCGCAAACGGACACACGUAGUCGGGUUGAAUAUACUAAGGCGCUUGAGUGAUUCACGGUUAAGGAACUAGGCAAAUUGACCCUGUAACUUCGGGAUAAAGGGUCCCAACGAGAGUUGGGCGCAGAGAAUAGGUCCAGGCAACUGUUUAACAAAAACACAGGGCUGUGCCAAAUUGAAAGAUUACGUAUACAGCCUGACACCUGCCCGGUGCUGGAAGGUUAAGAGGAGAUGUCAUCGCAAGAGAAGCAUUGAAUUGAAGCCCCAGUAAACGGCGGCCGUAACUAUAACGGUCCUAAGGUAGCGAAAUUCCUUGUCGGGUAAGUUCCGACCUGCACGAAUGGUGUAAUGAUCUGGACACUGUCUCAACCGUGAGCUCGGUGAAAUUGUAGUAUCGGUGAAGAUGCCGAUUACCCGCGAUGGGACGAAAAGACCCCGUGAACCUUUACUAUAGCUUAACAUUGAAUUUGGGUAAUUGAUGUGUAGGAUAGGCCGGAGACUUCGAAGCAGGUACGCCAGUAUUUGUGGAGUCGCUGUUGAAAUACGGCCCUUUGAUUAUUUGAGUUCUAACUCGUAGAUACGAGGACACUGUUUGGUGGGUAGUUUGACUGGGGUGGUCGCCUC
rnacentral:rRNA from 1 species